CUACGGGACGCUCCAGUGGGGAAUAUUGGGCAAUGGGCGCAAGCCUGACCCAGCAACGCCGCGUGAGGGAAGAAGGUUUUCGGAUUGUAAACCUCUGUCCUUGGGGACGAAGAAGUGACGGUACCCAAGGAGGAAGCUCCGGCUAACUACGUGCCAGCAGCCGCGGUAAUACGUAGGGAGCAAGCGUUGUCCGGAAUUACUGGGCGUAAAGGGUGCGUAGGCGGCAUAUUAAGUCAGGUGUGAAAUACUCGGGCUCAACCCGGGGGCUGCAUUUGAAACUGAUAAGCUUGAGUGUGGGAGAGGAAAGUGGAAUUCCUAGUGUAGCGGUGGAAUGCGUAGAUAUUAGGAGGAACACCAGUGGCGAAGGCGACUUUCUGGCUCAUAACUGACGCUGAGGCACGAAAGCGUGGGGAGCAAACAGGAUUAGAUACCCCUGUAGUC
rnacentral:rRNA from 1 species